rnacentral:rRNA from 1 species
AUUGAACGCUGGCGGCAUGCUUUACACAUGCAAGUCGAACGGCAGCACGGGCUUCGGCCUGGUGGCGAGUGGCGAACGGGUGAGUAAUAUAUCGGAACGUACCCAGAAGUGGGGGAUAACGUAGCGAAAGUUACGCUAAUACCGCAUACGGUCUAUGGAUGAAAGCAGGGGACCGCAAGGCCUUGUGCUCCUGGAGCGGCCGAUAUCUGAUUAGCUAGUUGGUGAGGUAAAGGCUCACCAAGGCGACGAUCAGUAGCUGGUCUGAGAGGACGACCAGCCACACUGGAACUGAGACACGGUCCAGACUCCUACGGGAGGCAGCAGUGGGGAAUUUUGGACAAUGGGCGCAAGCCUGAUCCAGCAAUGCCGCGUGAGUGAAGAAGGCCUUCGGGUUGUAAAGCUCUUUUGUCAGGGAAGAAACGGUAGAGGCUAAUAUCCUUUGCUAAUGACGGUACCUGAAGAAUAAGCACCGGCUAACUACGUG